AGCACCCAUGACAGUGAAUCCAUUUUGGUUGUGUUGGAUUUGAGGUGGCAAAGAAAUAAGGAACUUGCAUGUGACUGCGGGAAAUUAGAGCUACAAGACAGCAGUUCAGGCGAAAUGAUAGGACUAGAGUUAGAUGCUGAAACUCGCAGUCCCACAAGGACUUGAAUCUAGAGCUUUUUUAAAGUCCUUACUCUUUCCAGUACCCUGAGCCAGGGGAACCAGCGGGCAGAAAUGACGUGUGAGGUACCCUGUCUCCCUUCACUUCCAUGUGAUCUGUUACUCAUUUUGUCGAGACAUCCUGGGUCCCAGAGACCACUCUUACUCCCAGGUGUGUGACCUCCUCCUACAGAGUACAGUGGGAAAGCCGCUGUCUCCAGGUGCCAGGUGCUUCACAAGACACUGGCUAUAGCAGCAAACAGGACAGCCUGUCUCAUCCCCAUGGAGGUCACAGGACAAUGAGAAGACUUUUUUUUUUUUUUUUUGAGAUGGAGUUUUGCUCUUGUUGCCCAGGCUGGAGUGCAGUGGCAUGAUCUUGACUCACUGCAACCUCUAUCUCCCAAGUUCAAGCAAUUAUCUUGCCUCAGGCCUCUUGAGUAGCUGGAAUUACAGGAGCCUGCCACCAAUCCUGGCUAAUUUUUUGUAUUUUUAGUAGAGACGGGGGUUUCACCAUGUUGGCCAGGCUGGUCUCGAACUCGUGACCUCAGGUGAUCCACCCACCUCGGCCUCCCAAAGUGCAGGGAUUAUAGGCAUGAGCCAUCGAGCCUAGCCCAAGAAGAAAGACAUUGAACAAGUAAUUACAGGGUGUUGGGUGUUAUGAAAGAAAAGCAUGGUGGUGUAUAAUGAGGUCCGUUAAUUUAGUCUGGGGUGACAAGGAAUGCCUACUAAAGAAGGUAUCGUUUAAGACAUACCUGGGGAUUAGCAGGAGAGAAAAUAAAAGCUCCAGAAAAUCAGGGACCAUGGCUGACAUGUUUACCAUGCCAGUGUCUGGCAUGGAAGAGGCACCAAUUCCUUUGGUUGAAAGGAUGAAGUAAUCUAGCUGAAUAAAGGCUGUAUGUGUGUGUGUGCACACAUGUGUGUUUGUAGUUAACCUUCCUUUAGCUCAGCUUAGGGAACAGCUUUUGUAAAACUGCCUAACUGGUAGUAGGUGAGAAAGGAAUAUGAAUGAGAUACACACCAUUAGAGACAACUUACUAACAGAACGA
rnacentral:lncRNA from 1 species